UACGAAGGGGGCUAGCGUUGUUCGGAAUCACUGGGCGUAAAGGGCGCGUAGGCGGCCAUUCAAGUCGGGGGUGAAAGCCUGUGGCUCAACCACAGAAUUGCCUUCGAUACUGUUUGGCUUGAGUUUGGUAGAGGUUGGUGGAACUGCGAGUGUAGAGGUGAAAUUCGUAGAUAUUCGCAAGAACACCAGUGGCGAAGGCGGCCAACUGGACCAACACUGACGCUGAGGAGCGAAAGCGUGGGGAGCGAACAGG
rnacentral:rRNA from 1 species